rnacentral:misc_RNA from 1 species
UGUGGGAGCGAGCCUGCUCGCGAUGAGGCCGUGUCAGUCGACAUCCCUGUCAACUGACCGACCGCUAUCGCGAGCAGGCUCGCUCCCACA